GCGCUCACUUUGGCAGCACAUAUACUAAAAUUGGACCCAUACGGAGAUUAAUAUAGCCCCACUGCGCAAGGUGGACAUGCAAAUUUGUGAAGCAUUUCGUAUUUUA
ensembl:snRNA U6 U6 spliceosomal RNA